AAAAUUCUGUUGUUAAAGAAGAACAAUUUCUGAGAGUAACUGUUCAGGUAUUGACGUAUUUAACCAGAAAAGCCACGGCUAACUACGUGCCAGCAGCCGCGGUAAUACGUAGGUGGCAAGCGUUGUCCGAUUUUAUUGGGCGUAAAGCGAGCGCAGGCGGUUUUUUAAGUCUGAUGUGAAAGCCUUCGGCUCAACCGAAGAAGUGCAUCGGAAACUGGGAAACUUGAGUGCAGAAGAGGACAGUGGAACUCCAUGUGUAGCGGUGAAAUGCGUAGAUAUAUGGAAGAACACCAGUGGCGAAGGCGGCUGUCUGGUCUGUAACUGACGCUGAGGCUCGAAAGUAUGGGUAGCAAACAGGAUUAGAUACCCUGGUAGUCCAUACCGUAAACGAUGAAUGCUAAGUGUUGGAGGGUUUCCGCCCUUCAGUGCUGCAGCUAACGCAUUAAGCAUUCCGCCUGGGGAGUACGGCCGCAAGGCUGAAACUCAAAGGAAUUGACGGGGGCCCGCACAAGCGGUGGAGCAUGUGGUUUAAUUCGAAGCUACGCGAAGAACCUUACCAGGUCUUGACAUACUAUGCAAAUCUAAGAGAUUAGACGUUCCCUUCGGGGACAUGGAUACAGGUGGUGCAUGGUUGUCGUCAGCUCGUGUCGUGAGAUGUUGGGUUAAGUCCCGCAACGAGCGCAACCCUUAUUAUCAGUUGCCAGCAUUAAGUUGGGCACUCUGGUGAGACUGCCGGUGACAAACCGGAGGAAGGUGGGGAUGACGUCAAAUCAUCAUGCCCCUUAUGACCUGGGCUACACACGUGCUACAAUGGAUGGUACAACGAGUUGCGAACUCGCGAGAGUAAGCUAAUCUCUUAAAGCCAUUCUCAGUUCGGAUUGUAGGCUGCAACUCGCCUACAUGAAGUCGGAAUCGCUAGUAAUCGCGGAUCAGCAUGCCGCGGUGAAUACGUUCCCGGGCCUUGUACACACCGCCCGUCACACCAUGAGAGUUUGUAACACCCAAAGUCGGUGGGGUAACCUUUUAGGAACCAGCCGCCUAAGGUGACAGAGUAGGGGGG
rnacentral:rRNA from 1 species